UUGCUCUGCUAACCGACUCAAACAUCGCUUGUGUCUCGUGCCCUUAUAAAUAUCACCCGACGCUUCUACUUUGGACACAUCAUUAAGGGCAGAUUGGUGGAGGUUCUGGGCAUCUGAACAUAUGUUGCUGCUACAUUCUCGCCCAGGAUUUAUUAGAAUGCUGUCUGCUGAGCCUACAGAAAAUGGAGAAUGAGAAGAAAGAAAAAGGAUCAGAUGGAUGUCAGGAAAACGAGCACAAGAAGAUAGACAUGAGAGUACGGUGCCGCCCAUCCGUAAUAUUACCAAUGGCCAAUUAAAAUGUUUCAUUUUUCUUUCGUAUUUCAGGUUUACUAACGGGGCAUUCUGUGAAAAUUAAAUCAAGUUUCCAU